AUUAUCACAAAAUAUGGAGUAUAAUCCCCUGUGCUAUACAGAGAUGGAUCCCUCCAAAAAAUAUCUUGCUGGCUAUGUAUUUCACAUAUUAAUAUGUUUUUUCCUUGUCCUGGUUCCCAAUUCUGCUUGUUCACUUUGAUGAAGAGGGCUGCCAUUCUGCAGCAGUCCACAUGGCAAAGAAUUUAUGGCAGUGUACAGCCAACUAGCCAGGCACUGAGGUCUCUCAAUCCACCAAUCCAUAAGAGAUGGAAUCCUGCCAACAAUCAAUACUGAGCUAACUUGGGAGAGGAAUUUUCCCCAAUUGAAUCUUGAGAUGAGUGUGGCCCUGGGCUGGAAUGUUGAUUGCAGGCAUUUAAGAAACCCUGAAGCUGAGGAAUCAGGCACCUAGUGAAUGUCUCCAUGGUGACUAUCUAUACACUUCAGCAGUGGGACACCAGAAAAUACAGACUCUGUGGAUACAAAGAUGCCAAGAUAGAGAAUAUAGCCAAGGUUUGGGCACUGAAUGAAGAAGGCACACUCUGGGAAAAGCCACUACUGCAGGAAUAAUUCGACUUGGGCUUUCUCCAAGAAGGUGCUCAUAGAAGACCUGAGACUCCGGGGUCAGAGGUAAAGGGCUUUACUACACACAGCAACAUGAGCACCAUGUUUGCCCUGGUUUUUCUUUUUCCACCCAUCUGAUGUAGCCAAUGCAGGAGCCCAAGAUAGAUGCUAUAGCACAGUGAGCUGCAUUACAAGAGGAAAACAAUGUGCGUGGAGAAUUUACAAACUUAAAGCACGUGGUAAGAAAACCUACACUUUGUCCCAAAGGAAGACAUUACCCCAUCCUUCAAUGUUGCUUGCUGUAAACACAACCCUGAGAAGCAGCACAGGCAUAAUACUCUCAGGGCCUUACAUUCUUGGUAGGCCCACUAAGAUGGGUAGAAGAGUGAAAGAUUGUGGAGACAAAAACAUAGGUGAGAUUGUGAAGUAAAUCCACAUCUGGAAGGUCACCCCAUAUAAGACCGUUCUACUUUCAUUCACUUAUUUAGUUUUGCAGAAAUAAAACUUCCCUGGAUUUCUCAAUGUUUCUGUAAAAUCCCUUAGCCUCCUGACACAUGGAAACAUUUUACUCUUCACAUACCAAGAAAAUUAGAUCUAUAGCUGUUUGUCUAGUACAUCAUUUUGAUCUGAAAGGGUAAUAAAAUUUCUCAUAUUUCCCCAAGACAUCCAAUAUUUCUCAGCCUGGAAUAGGUCCCUAGGCUGAGAUACAGGCUGCCAGGGAGAAUGGAGCACUCUCUCCCAAGACAUUAACAUUUCAGAAGGGCAUACAGUGCAAUCUGGUUCUUAGGGAGAUUUUUAUUUGUAUAACAAAGAAUUGGAGGUCUUUUUGAAAAUCUGUUCAAGAAGGGAGAGAGACAGCUGCAGCUUUCUCCUUUAUAUGUAGAGAAAAACUGUCUUACUUUGUCUCUCACCUCUGGAGUAUUGGACUCCAUAUAUUAAAAAAAUCCUACCAGCUCUUGAGAGGAUUAAGAUGGUGGGAUAGAAGGACUGGAGCUCAACUUCUCUACUAAAAAACAACAAAAUUCACAACUAAAGACUGAGCA